rnacentral:rRNA from 1 species
UACGUAGGGCGCAAGCGUUGUCCGGAAUUAUUGGGCGUAAAGAGCUCGUAGGCGGCUUGUCGCGUCGAAUGUGAAAACUCGGGGCUCAACUCCGAGCUUGCAUUCGAUACGGGCAGGCUAGAGUUCGGUAGGGGAGACUGGAAUUCCGGGUGUAGCGGUGGAAUGCGUAGAGAUCCGGAGGAAGACCGGUGGCGAAGGCGGCCUGCUGGGCAGUUACUGACACUGAGGCGCGACAGCGUGGGGGAGCAAACAGG